GAACACAGGUGCUGCAUGGCUGUCGUCAGCUCGUGUCGUGAGAUGUUGGGUUAAGUCCCGCAACGAGCGCAACCCUUGUCUUUAGUUGCUACGCAAGAGCACUCUAAAGAGACUGCCGGUGACAAACCGGAGGAAGGUGGGGAUGACGUCAAGUCCUCAUGGCCCUUAUGGGUAGGGCUUCACACGUCAUACAAUGGUGCGUACAGAGGGUUGCCAACCCGCGAGGGGGAGCUAAUCUCUUAAAACGCAUCGUAGUCCGGAUCGUAGUCUGCAACUCGACUACGUGAAGCUGGAAUCGCUAGUAAUCGCGGAUCAGCAUGUCGCGGUGAAUACGUUCCCGGGUCUUGUACACACCGCCCGUCACACCAUGGGAGUGGGUUUUGCCAGAAGCAGUUAGCCUAACCGUAAGGAGGGCGAUUGCCACGGCAGGGUUCAUGACUGGGGUGAAGUCGUAACAAGGUAGCCGUAUCGGAAGGUGCGGCUGGAUCACCUCCUUUCUAG
rnacentral:rRNA from 1 species